UGGCUAUUGAGGCAUCCGCCAGAUGUAUAUGUUGUCAAUACAUGUAAUGCAGAACUAUGGAAGUAGAAGAUGCAAGAAUUGUGGCCUACUGAUUGUCUUUUCUUCUGUAGAAGGAAUGGGGAUACUAUUUGUUUCUUUUUCUUUAAUUUUUUCAUGUGCCCGUUACAUUUCUUUUGAGCGAGGGAUUUAUUACUGACAACUUCUCUAUACCGCAAGGGUUGAGGUAAGGUAUGCAUGUAUCUUACACUCUCA
rnacentral:misc_RNA from 1 species